AAAGAAUUAGUUAAAAAAUAACAUUAAAUUGUCAUUUUAAAAUUAUUAAUACAUAAUAUUUUUUC
rnacentral:tRNA from 1 species